rnacentral:sRNA from 1 species
UCCAGUAUUUCUUGUUCCUACGAAAAU